CACUCCGAUGGCCUAGUGGUUAGAGUGUCUGCCUCGGAUGUAGGAGGUCGUAGGUUCAAUCCCCGGUCGAGUAA